CUUUACUAUAAUUUAAAAUUGAUUUAAAGAAGAAUCUGUUCAGUAUAAGUGGGAAAUAAUGAUAAAAGAAAAAAUUUUUGAAUUACUAAUGAGAUACCACUCUUAUUCUUUUAAAAUCUAAUAAUAAUUCUGUAAACCAGUUAUUAAACAGUUUUAAGUGGAUAGUUUGACUGGGGCGGUGACCUCCUAAAAAGUAACGGAGGUGUACAAAGGUUAUAGUUUUUAUAAUUUUUAAAAAUUUUUAUGAAAUAUGUAAAGAUAUAACAAGCUUAACUGUAAGAUAUACAUAUCCAACAGAAGCGAAAGUUUGUCUUAGUGAUCCGAUUAAUUUAAAUGGUAGAACAAUCGAACAACGGAUAAAAGUUA
rnacentral:rRNA from 1 species